GCCAAAGUCGGACACGUAACGGACUGAGCCACCCAGUGAGAUGCACGGCACUGAAGGCUUGGUAUGCCAGUAGCCGUUUUUGCUGUCUGUCUGAAUGAAGCCAAGCGGAAUCAAAUACACCUGAAAGAUGGAGUCAAAGAGAGCUUUGAUGCCCGCCUGCAUCCAGAUGUGCUUGAAGUCCCAUUGGAUUCCUGUUUUCCUUAAGUUGGAUUGGAUUUCUGACAUUUGCAACCCAAAGAAUUCUGCUCAUGGAAACAUGAAUUCACUUUAAUAUGCAAACAGGGUAAUUGGAUCUCUGGUGGCCUGAGGACAGGUGGACCAGCAAGAGGCCAGGAUCACUGGGCCCUUGAUGACGUCAUUAAGCCACUCGAUUAACUAACCCUGGAGCCCAUCUAAUUUAGGCCUCCUUGUUAUAUGAAAAAAUAAAAUAUCCUAUGGGUUAA